UUUACCUUACGGAGCUGACAUAGAGAGGAUGUUAAGGCACUGAGGGCCAGAGCACUUGUUCUCAUCAGCAUCAUCAUCAGCCUCAGCAUCAUUGUCACCGUAAUCAGCAUCAUUGGCAUCAGCAUCAUCAGCAUCACCACCCUCAUCAUCAUCAGUAGCAUCAAUAUCACUAUCAUCAGCAUUAGCAUCAGCAUCAUCAGCAGCAUCAGCACCAUCAGCAUCAUCGUCAUCAGGAUCAUCAGCAUCAUCAGCAGCAUCACCACCAUUAUCAGCAUCAGGAUCACCAUCUAACAUUUUUUGAGGGCUUCAAAUGCACAAGGCACUGGGCUGAUUUCUUUACAUGCAUUGUCUCACUUGUUUCCAAC
rnacentral:lncRNA from 10 species